rnacentral:lncRNA from 1 species
GUAGAUCCCACUUCUUAGGUCUGCACCUAAAACAUAUAUUCAAUGCAUGCAUCGAAGACAGGGAUGCCAUCCAUAUUCAUUUACUUAUAGAGUGUAGUUCAAGUCUGCCAUACAAUUGGGGCAAAAAGAACAGAAGAGUUUCCAAUAUACCUUAAUAUUGUACGGCUGCAAAUCAUAAGAUUUCUAUUCAUGCUUGAAAUUAUAUCAGGGUGGAGAGUCCGCAGAAUUGACAUUAAGGGUGGG